rnacentral:misc_RNA from 1 species
AACGCACAUUGCGCCCCUUGGUAUUCCGAGGGGCAUGCCUAUUCGAGCGUCAUUAUCACCCCUCAAGCCUAGCUUGGUGUUGAGGCCUGCUGUUAAGGCAGCCUCUAAAAUCAGUGGCAGUGCUGUCAGGCUCUAAGCGUAGUAAUUUCAUCGCUAUAGGGUCCUGGUGGAUACUCGCCAAAACCCCCCCAUUUUUCAAAUGAUUGACCUCGGAUUAGGUAGGGAUACCCGCUGAACUUAA